rnacentral:rRNA from 1 species
UGGGGAAUAUUGCACAAUGGGGGAACCCUGAUGCAGCGACGCCGCGUGAAGGAAGAAGUAUUUCGGUAUGUAAACUUCUAUCAGCAGGGAAGAAAAUGACGGUACCUGACUAAGAAGCCCCGGCUAACUACGUGCCAGCAGCCGCGGUAAUACGUAGGGGGCAAGCGUUAUCCGGAUUUACUGGGUGUAAAGGGAGCGUAGACGGUAGUGCAAGUCUGAAGUGAAAGGCGGGGGCCCAACCCCGGCACUGCUUUGGAAACUGUGCUGCUAGAGUGCAGGAGAGGUAAGUGGAAUUCCUAGUGUAGCGGUGAAAUGCGUAGAUAUUAGGAGGAACACCAGUGGCGAAGGCGGCUUACUGGACUGUAACUGACGUUGAGGCUCGAAAGCGUGGGGAGCAAACAGGAUUAGAUACC